rnacentral:lncRNA from 1 species
UGGGAGAUCAAACAGCAAGAAGGAGACUCCAUAGCGUUGCUAGACACUGAAAGAUUACUACCUCCAAAUUUUUGAUGGCACUUCCCUACCAGCAUGAAAACAUUUUGAGCACAAGCCACCUAUAGAUCCAGGUUAUUGCAACAGGACCCUGAAGGAAGUUUUUCAGCUACUGGAGGCUUUCUCUGAUCUGUGUAACCUAAAUGGUGAUUAUAUGUGUAUAUGUAUAUAAAAUGUAAUUGAGCUGU